rnacentral:sRNA from 1 species
GAAUCGGUAACUCCUCAAUCAUUCGUCCCAAGAAAAAGUCCACCGAUGAGGAAAAAGCCAUAAAAAGUUCGUCUGAGCCGGCACUUUCAGAGCAAAAAUCCACCGAAAAACCGAGUUUUUCAACGGAAAAACUAUCGUCGGAUUCGGCGACGACUAAAAUCGAGAAGGAAAAGCUGAAAAAAGCGAUAGAAGAGCAGGAAGAGCAGGAGCUCAAUGUGCUCAUUAAACAGUUACAGGGGGAAAUUGGAACGAAAAUUGCAAAGUUGAAAGAUCAAUGGAAGGAAUUUGAUGAUGAUGCUGAUAAAUGUGAAGCUGUAGAGGGGCUUUUGGUUUCUUUAUUGACUACG